rnacentral:tRNA from 1 species
GGGGUUGUGGUUCAGUGGUAGAGCACUUUCCUAGCAUGUGUGAGGCACUGGGUUCGAUCCCCAGCACCCAUA